AAUCACGAUUUGUAAUUCGAAGUGAAAAUUUGAUAUCUAAACUUUGAAACUGUGAUGAAUGUUGUUUUUGCUGCAGUUUUCAUGUAUUUUUUUCACUGUUCAUCGAGUAGGUGAAAUGUCGUAGAAGAAAUUGAAUUGAUUUAUUAAGUUUCUCUUGAAUUCUCCGCAGCAUUUUGUUUUCAUGUAUUUUUUCACUGUUCAUCGAGUAGGUGAAAUGGCGUAGAAGAAAUUGGAUUGAUUUAUUAAGUUUCUCUCGAAUUCUCAGCAGCAUUUUGUUUAAACCGGAUGUGUUUGUGUUAAUUAAAUUUUCAUUGAGGAGGUGAAUGGACAACGGAAAUUUUACUAUUUGUGAAAUUUUAGUUUCAUCGAGUAGGUGAAAUGGCGUAGAAGAAGUUGGUUUAAUUUCCUAUGUCUUCUCACGAGUUCUCCGCGGCAUUUUGGUAAGUUUGAGCUUGCUCUAAUACAUACAGCCUCAAAAACAUGCUGAAGGAUUCAACUGAGUUCUCUUCUAAAUCUGUCCCGUUUUUUCUCCAAAAUGUCACACUACUACAUGAGAAAGAAGAAAAUCACCCAAGCAAGUUUCAAGAAAAGUCGCAUAAAGUUGCAUGCGAGGCAAAGGUGACCUUGAAAAUGCUAACUGCACCAACAAGGGUGUCCUCCAUCAUACAUCGACAAAUUGGGGGGCUGAAAUCCAUGAGCCUAACUAUAGCCCUCGCCUUUGGCAUGGUACGAUGUUGCAUACAAACAUUGUGGUGAUAAGGUCCAACUCAAUUUUCCCAAUCAUGUGCACACAAAAACCAAGCUCAGAAUUUAACUGGCUCUAGCUAUUUGAUGACACACAGUGGAGUUCAAGAGAGGGCUACAGUUUGGCUCACGGAUUUUAGCAACCCAUUUCCCCAUGUACGUUGGAUGACAAUCUUGUUGGGCCAAUUUGCAUUUUCAGGGUCACCUUUGCCUGACGUGCAGCCUUUUCUGAAACUUGUUUAGGUGAUUUUCUUCUUCCCUGUAUGAAGUGUAACAUUUUUGGGGAAAUGAGACUGAUUUGGAAGACAAUUGAGUCAAGUUAUUCAGCAUGUUUUAGGGGCAGUAUUUGUAGUUAAGAGGACAAAAAAUGAAGGAAUUUGAUUUCCUAUAUGUCUGUAUACAUGUGAACUUAAGAAGUUCACUAAUACUUGUCAAAAGCAAUCAAACAUUUUGCUUGUAGUAGCAAUUAACACGGAAGCUACGCAUGCAUAUUUUUUGGUCUCAUGCGAAGAUCGCCGAGAGGGGACAACACAUUACACCUCAAAAUACUUCUUUUCUAGAAUUCCUUUUUCCUUUUUAAACUUCUACAAUUUUGAAACUACUGACCAAAAUCAUUACUUUUUUCGUCUUCUUCCAAGGUAAAAAAAUGAAGUAACAGUGCUGAAAAAGUUGAUAUUUAGGUUCUGGACUCGUAGUUUAUUGGUGUCUUCUUUUUUCUUGAAUUUUUUAGCUCAGACAGAUGCUAUUUUCUUUCUUCUGAGAAACCAAUUAAAAUGACCAGUGCUAAGAAAGUUAAUAUCUUGUGCUAUAAAUUAAUGUUGGUGUUUAUAUCAAAGGAUUUUCUAAAUUAUUGUUUCAUCCUUGUUGUCUUAGCUAAAAUUAUAACUGAUGAACUCCUUAUGAAUUUGGUGUCAAAUUCUUUACUCUUUUUCUUUUUGAACUAUUAAAUUCUUAUUUGUCAUUACCUUCUCCUAUUUCUUGUGCAAUUGGUUUCUAUAUUUUUGGUCGUUAGUUCAGACAAACUCUAUCAAUAGAAUUGGAGAAGCAUAUAACAAAAUCAAUCUAGUAGUUCUUAUAUACCAUGUGACUGUUUUGAUCAUCCUUAUGAACGCUGAAGGACUAAGGAGAAUAGCUUGAGAAGAUGUUAAGGCAUUGCUGAUGGGAAAAAGAUAAAAGAGGUGAGAUGGUGUAGAAGAAAUUGGAUUAAUUUCCUAGUGUUCUCUCGGACUCUUUGCAGCAUUU